rnacentral:tRNA from 1 species
AUUCAAUUAGUAUAAAAAGUAUAUUAAGCUUCCAACUUAAAGGAUGGGCAUCCAAUUGAAUA